rnacentral:rRNA from 1 species
UACGGGGGGGCAAGCGUUGUUCGGAAUUACUGGCGUAAAGGGCUCGUAGGCGGCCAACUAAGUCAUACGUGAAAUCCCUCGGCUUAACCGGGGAACUGCGUCUGAUACUGGAUGGCUUGAGUUUGGGAGAGGGAUGCGGAAUUCCAGGUGUAGCGGUGAAAUGCGUAGAUAUCUGGAGGAACACCGGUGGCGAAGGCGGCAUCCUGGACCAACACUGACGCUGAGUGAGCGAAAGCCAGGGGAGCAAACGGG